AGAGUUUGAUCAUGGCUCAGAACGUACGCUGGCGGCACGCCUAACACAUGCAAGUCGAACGAAGUAGCAAUACUUAGUGGCAGACGGGUGAGUAACAUGUAGGUAUCUGCCCUUUGGCCUGGAAUAACACGAGGAAACUUGUGCUAAUACCGGAUAAGUCUUUACGGAGAAAGCUUUAUGCACCAUUGGAUGAGCCUGCACUUGAUUAGUUUGUUGGUGGGGUAAUGGCCUACCAAGACUGUGAUCAAUAGCUGAUUUGAGAGGAUGAUCAGCCACAUUGGGACUGAGACACGGCCCAAACUCCUACGGGAGGCAGCAGUGGGGAAUCUUGCACAAUGGAGGAAACUCUGAUGCAGCGAUGCCGCGUGAGUGAAGAAGGCCUUUGGGUUGUAAAGCUCUUUCGUCGGGGAAGAAAAUGACUGUACCCGAAUAAGAAGGUCCGGCUAACUUCGUGCCAGCAGCCGCGGUAAUACGAAGGGACCUAGCGUAGUUCGGAAUUACUGGGCUUAAAGAGUUCGUAGGUGGUUGAAAAAGUUAGUGGUGAAAUCCCAGAGCUUAACUCUGGAACUGCCAUUAAAACUUUUCAGCUAGAGUAUGAUAGAGGAAAGCAGAAUUUCUAGUGUAGAGGUGAAAUUCGUAGAUAUUAGAAAGAAUACCAAUUGCGAAGGCAGCUUUCUGGAUCAUUACUGACACUGAGGAACGAAAGCAUGGGUAGCGAAGAGGAUUAGAUACCCUCGUAGUCCAUGCCGUAAACGAUGUGUGUUAGACGUUGGAAAUUUAUUUUCAGUGUCGCAGGGAAACCGAUAAACACACCGCCUGGGGAGUACGACCGCAAGGUUAAAACUCAAAUGAAUUGACGGGGACCCGCACAAGUAGUGGAGCAUGUGGUUUAAUUCGAAGAUACGCGCAGAACCUUACCAACACUUGACAUGUUCGUCGCGACUCUAAGAGAUUAGAGUUUUCGGUUCGGCCGGACGAAACACAGGUGCUGCAUGGCUGUCGUCAGCUCGUGUCGUGAGAUGUUGGGUUAAGUCCCGCAACGAGCGCAACCCUCACUUUUAGUUGCCAUCAUUAAGUUGGGCACUCUGAAAGAACUGCCAGUGAUAAGCUGGAGGAAGGUGGGGAUGACGUCAAGUCCUCAUGGCCCUUACGUGUUGGGCUACACACGUGCUACAAUGGUAUCUACAACAGGAAGCAAGACUGCGAAGUUAAGCAAAUCCCUAAAAGAUACCUCAGUUCGGAUUGCACUCUGCAACUCGAGUGCAUGAAGCUGGAAUUACUAGUAAUCGUGGAUCAGCGUGCCACGGUGAAUGCGUUCCCGGGUCUUGUACACACCGCCCGUCACACCAUGGGAGUUGGUUCUACCUUAAGGCAAGGUUUCAAACCCUUGACCACGGUAUAGUCAGCGACUGGGGUGAAGUCGUAACAAGGUAGCCGUA
rnacentral:rRNA from 1 species